GAUGAACGCUGGCGGCGUGCCUAAUACAUGCAAGUCGAGCGAACAGACGAGGAGCUUGCUCCUCUGACGUUAGCGGCGGACGGGUGAGUAACACGUGGAUAACCUACCUAUAAGACUGGGAUAACUUCGGGAAACCGGAGCUAAUACCGGACAAUAUAUUGAACCGCAUGGUUCAAUAGUGAAAGACGGUUUUGCUGUCACUUAUAGAUGGAUCCGCGCCGCAUUAGCUAGUUGGUAAGGUAACGGCUUACCAAGGCAACGAUGCGUAGCCGACCUGAGAGGGUGAUCGGCCACACUGGAACUGAGACACGGUCCAGACUCCUACGGGAGGCAGCAGUAGGGAAUCUUCCGCAAUGGGCGAAAGCCUGACGGAGCAACGUCGCGUGAGUGAUGAAGGUCUUCGGAUCGUAAAACUCUGUUAUUAGGGAAGAACAAAUGUGUAAGUAACUAUGCACGUCUUGACGGUACCUAAUCAGAAAGCCACGGCUAACUACGUG
rnacentral:rRNA from 1 species